rnacentral:rRNA from 1 species
GCUAUCGGAUUGAUACUAAGCCAUGCGAGUCAUUGUAGCAAUACAAGGCAUACGGCUCAGUAACGCGUAGUCAACCUAACCUAUGGACGGGAAUAACCUCGGGAAACUGAGAAUAAUGCCCGAUAGAACAUUAUGCCUGGAAUGGUUUAUGUUCCAAAUGAUUUAUCGCCGUAGGAUGGGACUGCGGCCUAUCAGUUUGUUGGUGAGGUAAUGGCCCACCAAGACUAUUACAGGUACGGGCUCUGAGAGGAGUAGCCCGGASAUGGGUACUGCGACACGGACCCAGGCCCUAUGGGGCGCAGCAGGCGAGAAAACUUUGCAAUGUGCGAAAGCWCGACAAGGUUAAUCCGAGUGGUUUCUGCUAAAGGAACCUUUUGUCAGUCCUAGAAACACUGAUGAAUAAGGGGUGGGCAAGUUCUGGUGUCAGCCGCCGCGGUAAAACCAGCACCUCAAGUGGUCAGGAUGAUUAUUGGGCCUAAAGCAUCCUUAGCCGGCUCUGUAAGUUUUCGGUUAAAUCUGUACGCUCAACGUACAGGCUGCCGGGAAUACUGCAAAGCUAGGGAGUGGGAGAGGUAGACGGUACUCGGUAGGAAGGGGUAAAAUCCUUUGAUCUAUUGAUGACCACCUGUGGCGAAGGCGGUCUACCAGAACACGUCCGACGGUGAGGGAUGAAAGCUGGGGGAGCAAACCGGAUUAGAUACCCGGGUAGUCCCAGCUGUAAACCAUGCAAACUCAGUGAUGCAUUGGCUUGUGGCCAAUGCAGUGCUGCAGGGAAGCCGUUAAGUUUGCCGCCUGGGAAGUACGUACGCAAGUAUGAAACUUAAAGGAAUUGGCGGGGGAGCACCAC